CGCGGAUAUCUCAUCCCGGCACACCGCUAGCGCACGAUUUUGUUCCAGGACGAGACGUUCCCAAUCCGAGGCGCCCGCUGCCUCCAUAGUACGGCGAAGUAAUCUGUUACGAAGCGCUGACGGAGACAAGCGCGGGCGAGCGAAGAGAUGGCGUGUGACCGAACACAGGACGAGAAUCGACUCGGGACCGAGCAGGUGGUGGAACCCGACGGCCCCACGCUUCGAUGGAAGAUUGAGACGGUCAUGCGAUGAAAAGCCACAUCUCAGAGAAGCUGUACUCCCCACAGUGUGCAUGCGUGCUAGAAACUUAAUGCAUGUUCUCC
ensembl:lncRNA